CUAGCGUUGCUCGGAAUCACUGGGCGUAAAGCGCACGUAGGCGGCUUCUUAAGUCAGGGGUGAAAUCCUGGAGCUCAACUCCAGAACUGCCUUUGAUACUGAGGAGCUUGAGUCCGGGAGAGGUGAGUGGAACUGCGAGUGUAGAGGUGAAAUUCGUAGAUAUUCGCAAGAACACCAGUGGCGAAGGCGGCUCACUGGCCCGGUACUGACGCUGAGGUGCGAAAGCGUGGGGAGCAAACAGG
rnacentral:rRNA from 1 species